rnacentral:rRNA from 1 species
GCAAGUCGAGCGGAUUGAUGGGAGCUUGCUCCCAUCAGUCAGCGGCGGACCGGUGAGUAACACGUGGGUAACCUGCCUGUAAGACUGGGAUAACUCCUGGGAAACCGAGGGCUAAUACCGGAUAACUCAUUUCCUCGCAUGAGGAAAUGUUGAAAGGUGGCUUUUAGCUAUCACUUACAGAUGGACCCGCGGCGCAUUAGCUAGUUGGUGAGGUAACGGCUCACCAAGGCGACGAUGCGUAGCCGACCUGAGAGGGUGAUCGGCCACACUGGGACUGAGACACGGCCCAGACUCCUACGGGAGGCAGCAGUAGGGAAUCUUCCGCAAUGGACGAAAGUCUGACGGAGCAACGCCGCGUGAGUGAUGAAGGUUUUCGGAUCGUAAAACUCUGUUGUUAGGGAAGAACAAGUACCGUUCGAAUAGGGCGGUACCUUGACGGUACCUAACCAGAAAGCCACGGCUAACUACGUGCCAGCAGCCGCGGUAAUACGUAGGUGGCAAGCGUUGUCCGGAAUUAUUGGGCGUAAAGCGCGCGCAGGUGGUUUCUUAAGUCUGAUGUGAAAGCCCACGGCUCAACCGUGGAGGGUCAUUGGAAA